rnacentral:rRNA from 1 species
AAUAUUGGACAAUGGGGGCAACCCUGAUCCAGCCAUGCCGCGUGUGUGAAGAAGGUCUUCGGAUUGUAACGCACUUUAAGUUGGGUGGAAGGGUUGUGGAUUAAUACUCUACAAUUUUUACGUUACCGACAGAAUAAGCACCGGCUAACUACGUGCCACCAGCCGCGGUAAUACGAAGGGUGCAAGCGUUACUCGGAAUUACUGGGCGUAAAGGGCGCGUAGGUGGUUCGUUAAGUCGGAAGUGAAAGCCCCGGGCUUAACCUGGGAAUUGCUUUCAAAACUGACGAGCUAGAGUACGGUAGAGGGUAGUGGAAUUUCCUGUGUAGCGGUGAAAUGCGUAGAUAUAGGAAGGAACAUCAGUGGCGAAGGCGACUACCUGGACUGAUACUGACACUGAGGUGCGAAAGCGUGGGGAGCAAACAGG